UUAACCACCACUUAGUCCUGUUCAGGGUUGCGAGGAGUGCUGGAGCCUAUCCCCGUCGUCACUGGCCGAGAGGCAGGAAUACACCCUGGACAGGCUUCUGUCCCCCCCUAUUCCCCAUAUGUGCAGAUGACAUUUUGUCUUUCACUGUAUUUUUUACUGAGAAAAAAGAAGGAAGGGACACAAGCACAUCAAAGACACAAGACUUGUGCAGCAACAACUCCUGAUAGAAAACACAACAGUUCUGAGAAGCUCCCCUGCCUGAAAAAGGAGGGUUUGCUGCAGCAAAGAAAAAUGGAAGAAGAAACACACAGACAGAGGAAAUCAAUCAGGGCGUCCAGUGAUUGAUCACAAGGCAACAUGCAUUUUCAAGAUGAAAACAGCAUGUGUCUUCUCUGGAGGAGAAUGUCGAGUAACAGGGAAGCGCAGGAGCUGAUGAAACCGCCGGGCCGGCUGAGACAUAGAAACGGAAGCCUUCACUCACCCACACACGCUAUGCGACUAGAGAAGCUCGACUGAAGAGCCCUUGACAGCGGAUGCUGCAGAACCCCUGACUGCUGCUUCUCCCUCACCAUGCACCACUCACUUUUCCCGUAAAUGACGCUUUUAUCUGACGUGGAGGCUGUUCUUUCGGGUUUAGACAUUUUGUCCCCGAACUUAUGUUCGCUAUGCCAUUCGCUGUUGCACUGCGACACUCCAAUCUUGCUCAUUUCUUUUUCUUGCAAUAUGCCAUUAUGGACCCAUUAAUGCAACUGCAUAUAGUUUAGUUGGAAUUAGAUUUUAUACA